UUGCUUUGGUAGCACAUAUACUAAAAUUGGAACAAUGCAGAGAAGAUUAGCAUGGCCCCUGCACUGCACAGGGGUGACAUCCAAAUUCAUGAAGUGCUCCAUAUUUAA
rnacentral:snRNA from 1 species